rnacentral:tRNA from 1 species
UGGGGAGUGGUGUAAUGGCAGCACUGGACGCUUUGGACGUCCCGGUUCAGGUUCAAAUCCUGGCUCCCCAG